UUGUGGGAGCCAUCUUCAGCCUUCUUCUUGCCAUAGAUACUCUUUGGAGGGGAGAUUAGAGCCAUUUGAAGGGAGUUGUGAAUUCUUUCGGGUUUUCAAGGCUUCUUAGGACCUAUCUUUUUAAAUUACUUGCUGUUCAAUUUCUUUUCUUUAUUUCUGUUUUGUGCCGAUUCUUUAUUGAUCUAUUUGCUCUUCUUGUUUUGUUUUCAGCCCUUUUCAUAUUAAAGAAUCGAUAAAUCUUUCUCUUGUUGGUAGCAGGGAAUCAGCCUUAAAUCCCCAAUUUCUAGGGUUCUUGUCGUUCCUUACAUAUUCUGAUUGGGGGCCAUUCGGUUGCUGGAAUUUGGGGAAAUCAACUUGGGUGUUCAAUUGGGCCGAAUCAUUCGGCUGGUUGGGAAAUCAAUCUUGGAGAUCGUUCGUGUUCUUGCAUUCCGAAAUAACAUCUAUUCAUAAGUUCUUUGAUUCUUGGCUGUUCUUAGUUGUUUUUUGGGAUUUAAUUUCGUUCUGAAUUACUUUUAAUCUUAUUUGUCAUUUUGAUUUCAGAUCUGUUCGAUAGAGCCUCGUAGGAGUUUCCUCGUGACUUGGCAACUCGAUCUUGGUCCACGCGCAUCCCAUAUCAAUGUUGGAUCAAUGUAUUCAAGCUGAUUUUGAGGCCUUCAACCUUCAAGCACUCUCUUGGCGACAAGCUGAUUUUGAGACCUUCAAGUGCUCUCUUGGUGACAUGGUCUAGUUAAGGUCGAGAAGAGUUGAUUUGAUCAAAUUAAAGAAGAGUCAAUUGAUGGACAAUUAGGCCACCAAACUGUCCAAACAAGGGAGAACAAGCCUAAUUCGGCAAAGGCAUAUGGACUACUCAAAAAUUCACUUUGGGAGAUUUACUGGAGACCCUACACCAAAAAGUUCCCUUAUCCACAAUUUAUGGUCGGCUAUGGGAAGGAGAAACCUAAGCCAGCAAAACCUUGAGAAGAUACUCUCUUGGCCGACCACCUUGAGAAGCAACUUGGAAAGGAGCAACACGAUGAUUGGAGGAAGCCACUUUGACCAGAUUCUGCAAAAUUGCUGAAAUAAUAAGAGUUUAUCCUUCAUUAUCCUUGUUUACUUUUAAUCAUAUUUGCAAUUUGUUUUGUUAUCUUGUCAUCAAUGAUGGUGGCUUAAAUUUGUUUAGCUAGAAUGGUUGCAUUAAUUUA